GACGAACGCUGGCGGCGUGCUCAACACAUGCAAGUCGAACGGAAAGGCCCUGCUUGCAGGGUACUCGAGUGGCGAACGGGUGAGUAACACGUGGGUGAUCUGCCCUGCACUUCGGGAUAAGCCUGGGAAACUGGGUCUAAUACCGGAUAGGAGCCAUUUUUAGUGUGAUGGUUGGAAAGUUUUUUCGGUGUAGGAUGAGCUCGCGGCCUAUCAGCUUGUUGGUGGGGUAAUGGCCUACCAAGGCGGCGACGGGUAGCCGGCCUGAGAGGGUGGACGGCCACAUUGGGACUGAGAUACGGCCCAGACUCCUACGGGAGGCAGCAGUGGGGAAUAUUGCACAAUGGGCGCAAGCCUGAUGCAGCGACGCCGCGUGGGGGAGGACGGCCUUCGGGUUGUAAACUCCUUUCGCUAGGGACGAAGCUUUUUGUGACGGUACCUAGAGAAGAAGCACCGGCUAGCUACGUG
rnacentral:rRNA from 1 species